UAACAGAUGUGCCGCCCCAGC
rnacentral:siRNA from 1 species